GUCCACGCUGUAAACGAUGAAUACUAGGUGUGGGGGGACUGACCCCCUCCGUGCCGCAGUUAACACAAUAAGUAUUCCACCUGGGGAGUACGACCGCAAGGUUGAAACUCAAAGGAAUUGACGGGGGCCCGCACAAGCAGUGGAUUAUGUGGUUUAAUUCGACGCAACGCGAAGAACCUUACCAGGACUUGACAUCCAACUAACGAAGUAGAGAUACAUCAGGUGCCCUUCGGGGAAAGUUGAGACAGGUGGUGCAUGGUUGUCGU
rnacentral:rRNA from 1 species